AUGAACGCUAGCUACAGGCUUAACACAUGCAAGUCGAGGGGAAACGACAUCGAAAGCUUGCUUUUGAUGGGCGUCGACCGGCGCACGGGUGAGUAACGCGUAUCCAACCUGCCCAUCACUUGGGAAUAACCUUGCGAAAGUAAGACUAAUACCCAAUGACAUCCCACGAAGACAUCUGAAUGGGAUUAAAGAUUUAUCGGUGAUGGAUGGGGAUGCGUCUGAUUAGCUUGUUGGCGGGGUAACGGCCCACCAAGGCAACGAUCAGUAGGGGUUCUGAGAGGAAGGUCCCCCACAUUGGAACUGAGCCACGGUCCAAACGCCUACGGGAGGCAGCAGUGAGGAAUAUUGGUCAAUGGGCGAGAGCCUGAACCAGCCAAGUAGCGUGCAGGAUGACGGCCCUAUGGGUGGUAAACUGCUUUUAUAAGGGAAUAAAGUGGGUCUCGUGAGACUUUUUGCAUGUACCUUAUGAAUAAGGACCGGCUAAUUCCGUG
rnacentral:rRNA from 1 species